CCGCGCACUUUUGUGUCGCGGCACGUAUGAGAGUUGUGGCGUACGGGCCGGCCUCGUUGCCGGGGCGCACGUGACGGUCCAAGUCUCCCUUGAACGGGGCCAUGGCCCGCAGAUGGUGCCAGGCCAGUAGAGGCCGUCACAGCGUUCCGGGAUCGGACCGCGCCUUCGAGUCGGGUUGCUUGAGAGUGCAGCCCGAAGCGGGUGGUAAACUCCAUCUAAGGCUAAAUACGGCCACGAGACCGAUAGUUUACAAGUACCGUGAGGGAAAGUUGAAAAGAACUUUGAAGAGAGAGUUCAUAAGAACGUGAAACCGCUCGGUUGUAAACGGACAGAGCUCGCGAAUCCCCGCCGGGCGAAUUCACGGUCGGUCUAACCGCCGGCCGGAUCUUUCGCUCGGUUAGCGGACGUCGCGACCCGUUGGGCGCCGGCCGAAUGGCCCGGGUGACGUUCGUCGCGUCGGUCGCGUUUCGGCGUGACCGUUCGCGCCGAGCCCCGGUGCUCAUGGUCGGCUCGCCCGACGGCAAGAACCGUCGACGCGGCCCCGUCGCAGGCGGGGUCCCGUCGGUCGGCGACGUGUUUCGAGCUACUUUCCGACCCGUCUUGAAACACGGACCAAGGAGUCUAACGUGUGCGCGAGUCAACGGUGAUCUUACGAAAAACCACGUUUGGCGCAAUGAAAGUGAACCGUUUACGGUGCGGACGAUGGCCUAGCGACCGAACCCACCGGCGUUCAAAGUCGCGCUGGUCCGCAGUCCGGGGGCGUCUCCGCCAAGUCGGCUUCGGCCGGCUGGGGGCGCACCCUUAGCGCACACGUUGGUACCCGAAAGAUGGUGAACUAUGCCUGGCCAGGAUGAAGUCAGGGGAAACCCUGAUGGAGGUCCGCAGCGAUUCUGACGUGCAAAUCGAUCGUCUGAGCUGGGUAUAGGGGCGAAAGACUAAUCGAACCAUCUAGUAGCUGGUUCCAUCCGAAGUUUCCCUCAGGAUAGCUGGCGCCGAUGUGUCCCGCCCGUUCGCGGGCGUACGGACGCCGGUGGGACUCCGCGCUGUACGGCGCGGUAACAACACGCUCGUAACACGGAGGAUGUCUCAUACGGUAAAGCGAAUGAUUAGAGGACAUUGGGGCCGAAACGACCUCAACCUAUUCUCAAACUAUAAAUGAGUGAGAUCGCCGGCUUUACCUGGUACACCGCGUGAACCGCGUGCGAAGCCGGCGACGGAACCCUAGGCGCUUAGUGGGCCAUUUUUGGUAAGCAGAACUGGCGCUGCGGGAUGAACCGAACGCCGAGUUAAGGCGCCGAAAUCGACGCGUAUUCAGAGACCAUGAAAGGCGUUGGUUGCUGAUGACAGCAGGACGGUGGCCAUGGAAGUCGGAAUCCGCUAAGGAGUGUGUAACAACUCACCUGCCGAAGCAACUAGCUCUGAAAAUGGAUGGCGCUGGAGCGUCGUGCCUAUACUCGGCCGUCGACGGCAUAGUGGGGCCAGUCGUCGCUCGCGGCGGCCGGUCCCGGCAAGCCUCGACGAGUAGGAUGGCGCGGCGGUGUGCGUCGAAGGGCAGGUCGCGAGACCGCCUGGAGCCGCCGUCGGUGCAGAUCUUGGUGGUAGUAGCAAAUACUCGAGAGGGGCCCUCGGGGGCUGCCGUGGAGAAGGGUUUCUUGUGAACAGCCGUUGUCCAAGAGUCAGUCGAUCCUAAGCCCGGGGAGAGAUCCUCGUACCACGGGCGAAGGCGUUUUCGAAUCGCCCUUGGGGCGAGAGGGAAUCCGGUUCGUAUUCCGGAACCCGACGCGGAACCGCUCCCUAGUGUUCGGGGCUCUUUUGUCUCGUCUGGGUAACCAGAAUGAACUCGAAGAAGCCGCCGGGGGAUCUGGGUAGAGUUCUCUUUUCUCUGUGAGCGUUGUACGUCCCUGGAAUCCUCUAGCCGGGCGAUAGGGACGCGAGCGCGAAGAGCACCGCUCGUUGCGGCGGUGUCCGUGAUCCCCACGCGGACCUUGAAAAUUCGAGAGAGGGCCACGCGGAGUCUUCGCGUCGGUUCGUACCGAUAUCCGCAGCAGGUCUCCGAGGUGAGCAGCCUCUAGCCGCAUAGAAUAAUGUAGGUAAGGGAAGUCGGCAAAACCGAUCCGUAACUUCGGGAUAAGGAUUGGCUCUGAGGAGCGUGGCUGCCGGGUUCGGGUCGUCGUAGAAGCGUAGGCGUUUUUGGCGACACCCCGGCCGUCGCCCGUGCGCCCGGUCUUCGGAACGGGAGCCUCGAGGCGGCCGCGGGCCCGUCGCCGUCCGCCGACCGUGGAACCACCGAGCUUCGGUCGCUGGCCGCGUCGCGGCCGGCCGACCGCCUUGGUGUCGGUUCGCCGUCACCGGGCGGUCCGGCCGCCGCGCCGUCGGUCGCGUAGCCGGAUCGACAGCCAUGUAACGGUCAACUCAGAACUGGCACGGACCAGGGGAAUCCGACUGUCUAAUUAAAACAAAGCAUCGCGAUGGCCCGGGACGGGUGUUGACGCGAUGUGAUUUCUGCCCAGUGCUCUGAAUGUCAACGUGAAGAAAUUCAAGCAAGCGCGGGUAAACGGCAGGAGUAACUAUGACUCUUUUAAGGUAGCCAAAUGCCUCGUCAUCUAAUUAGUGACGCGCAUGAAUGGAUUAACGAGAUUCUCACUGUCCCUAUCUACUAUCUAGCGAAACCACAGCCAAGGGAACGGGCUUGGAAAAAUCAGCGGGGAAAGAAGACCCUGUUGAGCUUGACUCUAAUCUGGCAUUGUUCGGAGACAUGCCGAGGUGUAGCAUACGUGGGAGACCCGGACCAAGGCGGGGCGGUUUCGGCCGUUCGUCUCCGGGCCGACCUUGAAAUACCACUACUCGCAUCGUUUCCCCACUUACUCGGUAGAGCGGAACGCGCGGUUCCGGCCGCGGGCGCGUCCGGGCCGGCGGUCGUCGUCCCGUCGCGUCGUCGGUUUGCCGUCGGUUCGCCGGCGCGCUACUGG
rfam:Acyrthosiphon pisum strain LSR1 Contig7663, whole genome shotgun sequence.